GAUGAACGCUAGCUACAGGCUUAACACAUGCAAGUCGAGGGGUAACGAGAGGAAAGCUUGCUUUCCUUGUCGACGACCGGCGCACGGGUGAGUAACGCGUAUCCAACCUGCCCCCAACUAGGGAAUAACCUUGCGAAAGUAAGACUAAUACUCUAUAAUUUCCUCAGAUGUCAUCUGACGAGGAAUAAAGAUUUAUCGGUUGAGGAUGGGGAUGCGUCUGAUUAGCUUGUUGGCGGGGUAACGGCCCACCAAGGCAACGAUCAGUAGGGGUUCUGAGAGGAAGGGCCACCCCAUGGGAACUGAGGCACGGUCCAAACUCCUAGGGGAGGCAGCAGUGGGGAAUUUUGGGUAAUGGGCGUAAGCCUGAACCAGCCACGUAUCGUGCAGCAUGACGGCCCUAUGGGUUCUAAAGUGCUUUUAUAGAGGAAUAAAGCUAGCCACGUGUGGUUAUUUGUAGGUACUGUAUGAAUAAGGACCGGCUAAUUCCGUGCCAGCAGCCGCAGUAA
rnacentral:rRNA from 1 species